GGCGCGUUGGCCGAGUGGCGAGGCACAGCUCUGCAAAAGCUGCUACACCGGUUCGAAUCCGGUACGCGCCUCCA
rnacentral:tRNA from 2 species